rnacentral:rRNA from 1 species
AUGAUCCCAAUCACCUGGCCGUUUGCAGUUUGGGGGCUUGACAUGGUUGUACCUUUCAAAAGAUCUAAGGACAAAAAGACACAUCUGCUGGUGGCAGUGGACAAGUUUACCAAGUGGGCUGAGGCAGAGCCGGUCAGUAAGUGUGAUGCAGCCACGGCGGUUCAGUUCAUGAAAAAGGUGAUCUUUCGUUUUGGCUUUCCACAUAGCAUUAUAACUGAUAAUGGCACUAAUCUCUCUAAGGGUGCCAUGGAAGAGUUCUGUCAAAGAGAACAUAUCCGGCUUGAUGUUUCGGCUGUUGCUCAUCCUCAAUCCAAUGGUCAAGCAGAGAGAGCUAAUCAAGAGAUCCUGAAAGGCAUCAAGCCCCGGCUUUUGGUCCCUUUACAGCAGACUCCGGGUUGUUGGGUGGAGGAGUUACCCUCCAUGUUAUGGAGCAUCAACACUAUGCCUAACAGAUCUACGGGAUCCAUACCUUUCUUCAUGGUUUAUGGAGCAGAGGCGGUCCUACCAAGUGACAUCCGGCACGACUCACCCCGUGUGGCGGCUUACGUUGAGGCGGAUAACGAAAAGGCUCGUCAAGAUGCACUUGACUUGUUGGACGAGGAGCGAGACUUGGCAAUAGCCCGCUCGGCGAUUUACUAG